AAUAGAAAAAUAGACCAGAAUAUUUGAUUAUUUAAACUUUUUUUUCCUCAUCACUAUCUCUUUAUUGAUUGUUCCUCUUAAAUAAAUAGCAAAGCAGGUGAAGCUGUUGCUUUGGCUAAGGAUUUGAUAUAGAAAG
rnacentral:ribozyme from 13 species